UAGUGCAAGACAAGUUCUUCUUCCUCCCAUUGAAUCAAGAACUAAAACAAUCCAUUGUCUUACAAAUAGGGUGGAAAACCAUAAGCCAAAUUUUGAUAAUUGUAAUAACACUAUUAUUGUGAACCUUUUCAUAUAUUGUUGAGUAUUGUGGAUACAUUCUUAUGGUGACAAUCAUACUUCAAGAAAACUUGAAGGAAGGCUAAAGGAGUUCUCAACAACUCAAGGACAAUCAUCAAAAGGAGGUUCAACANNN
rnacentral:lncRNA from 1 species